CCUGAGGGUGAAAGUGGGGGACCGCAAGGCCUCAUGCUAUAGGAGCGGCCGAUGUCUGAUUAGCUAGUUGGUGGGGUAAAGGCCCACCAAGGCGACGAUCAGUAGCUGGUCUGAGAGGACGAUCAGCCACACUGGGACUGAAACACGGCCCAAACUCCUACGGGAGGCAGCAGUGGGGAAUUUUGGACAAUGGGGGCAACCCUGAUCCAGCAAUGCCGCGUGUGUGAAGAAGGCCUUCGGGUUGUAAAGCACUUUUGUCCGGAAAGAAAUCGCACUGGUUAAUACCUGGUGUGGAUGACGGUACCGGAAGAAUAAGGACCGGCUAACUACGUGCCAGCAGCCGCGGUAAUACGUAGGGUCCAAGCGUUAAUCGGAAUUACUGGGCGUAAAGCGUGCGCAGGCGGUUGUGCAAGACCGAUGUGAAAUCCCCGGGCUUAACCUGGGAAUUGCAUUGGUGACUGCACGGCUAGAGUGUGUCAGAAGGAGGUAGAAUUCCACGUGUAGCAGUGAAAUGCGUAGAGAUGUGGAGGAAUACCGAUGGCGAAGGCAGCCUCCUGGGAUAACACUGACGCUCAUGCACGAAAGCGUGGGGAGCAAACAGGAUUAAAUACCCUGGUAG
rnacentral:rRNA from 1 species